AAGAGGGGCCUCAGUGAGGAGGACAGUAAGUAAGUGUGAGUUGUUAGUGCUGCUGAUGCUGCUGAGUCGCACAGCUAUUCUAUUAUUCUCUAUUAUGUUCUAUUCAAUAUUAUUCAAUUCUAUUAUUAUCUACUCUAUUCUAUUCAAUACUACUCAAUUUUAUUUCUAUUCUGGCAAGGCUAUCUCGCAGUGAGUGAGUGCAUUGGGGAAUGGCAAGGCAGCAGUUGCCCCAGGUCGGACAGAGAUUGAGAGAGUGAGGCAGUUGACUCUGCUAUAUUUAACUCACUCCCCUAACUCACACUCCCUAACUCACCAUUAUUAUUGUGAGUAUCAUUAUUUAUUUUAAAUAUUCAGUGAGCACAAGCAGUCUCUCUCCCCCUCA
rnacentral:lncRNA from 1 species